rnacentral:lncRNA from 1 species
UCUAAAGUUAUACCACAGCGAAAACCAAAAAAAUCCAUCAUUUAAAAGAUCAAAUUUUUGGUUGAUUUAUUUGUUGAAAGAUACAAAGUGAAGAGAGCAAUCAGCAGAAGUGGUAGUACCUAUCAAUUCUGUUCCUCAGUUUCAUCAAGAAUUUCUCAUUAUCCUCUUCUGCAACCUUGAUGAGCCUCUCAAUGAGAGUUUUUCUUUCUUGAAAUCCAAAGUUCUCUACAUCCACUUCAUUGACUUCACCUCGUGAUCCAAAGAGCAGCCCUUUUCUCAGUCUAUCAAAGGUUGGUAGCUUUUCAAGGGAAGCCCAUUUCAGAGCGUCUUCAUCAUCUUCGUCUCGCGAUGAACGUGAAAACACUUCCAGGCCUGUAUUCCUCCACAAGGCUGAGCUGUUAGCUCUUAAACUACCUCUUAAACUACCGCUCGGUCCUAUCUCCAUUCUGAUCCCAAGUGCGCACAAUAUGCAACACUAGGCCAGUAAAACGUCUUCAAAAACAGCUCGAGAAUCCUCGAAACUUGGCAGGCUUGAAUCAAAAUCUUAGCAAUUCAGCCGCCUUGAUCAAAAGGGAUGACUACUCAGUUCCUAGUCUCUUUCUUUCUUUCUCUUUCUUUUUUUUUUUUUUUUUUUUGCAACUGUUAGUUCAAAGUACGCCCCUAGCUGCAGAAGGCGUGCAAUUACAGUUUGAGAAAGAGUUGGGAGACGAAGAAAAGAACGUAAUAUUUUGAAGGGGGUUUGAGUUGGAGAGUAUUUAUAGAGUUGUUAACUUAUGAGGUUGUUAAAUUGUUAAGUUGAACGAAGACCGGCGGCUCGUAUAUCUUGAAAUGUACCCAUUUCUAGAAUACGUGAAUUAGGCAGGGGGGAAUUUGGAUCAAAUAUUUUUCUCCUGUGUGCGUGGAAAAUGGGAACAUCAUUGUUGACCAGUGACCCAGGCUCCUUCCUCUGCCUUUCGGAUAAUUUCAACGGUCAAAAUAAUAAACCCACAGGUCUUGGAAGAUUCUUGAUCAUAAAUAGUGGCAUUAAGUUGGCUUCUAGCUCUUUUUUUUUUGUGCACUAAGUUGGCAUUAAGUUGGCUUCUAGCUCUUCACAUCAUGCACAUGGUUGUUUUAGAAGAUCCCUAGUGUGAUUGUUUAGAUUUACAGUGUAGAAAAGUACUCCUCUUUUUUUUUUUUUCUUUUUGAGUUUUCUUUCCCUUUCCAAACGGGAGACUGAUUAAUUUAGUCAGAAAAAUAGUCGGAAUAAUGAAAUUAUUUCAAAUAUUUUCCAACCCACCUUGAAUAGUAAAUUUAUUUCAAAUAAUAUUUCACUUGCAUCAUAAAUUCAUUUUCUAAUUCAUACUUUUAUAUUUUCAAUCAUCUUUUUAUCUCACAUAUAUCACAUCAUAAAAAGUGUUACAGUAAUUAUUUCAAAUAAUACUCUGUCCAAACAAACCCAAAGACAGCCGACUCUCUGUGUAUUUUUGUCUGCCUCAGUGGUCAUCGUGUUUCCCUCAACUUGAUUCCGAUUCCUUAAAAAGUUGUAAUCUUCGAACUUGAAAGGAAUAUCUUAUACUCCCUCCGUCCCGUUUUGUUAGUCUUGUUUUCCUUUUUUGUCUGUCCCAAAUUGUAGUCCACUUUCCUAGUAAGGAAUGUAGUAAUCUUUCAAAUUGUCUAAAAUACCCUUAUUAAAUAUCUUGUUAUUAAUACAUUGUUAUUAAAUACUAACCCACUAUAUUGAAUACAUUGAGCUUUUCCAAUACAUAGAUAAAUGAAAAGUCUAUCUUUGUUAUUUAUUGGCACUAUUGGCGGUAAUUGAAACAAUCAGGGUGUAUUGGCGGUAACUGAUAUUUAUUGGCACCAUUAGCUGUAACUGAUAUUAAUUGGCACUCUUCGUGAUUAGCAUAAGGGUAUUUUAGGAAAUUAUUAAUCUAAAUUUAUGUUUCCAACCAAAUUAAUUACACUUUCUUAAUCUGUGUGAAAAAAAAAUUAAGACUAACAAAACGGGACGGAGGGAGUAAUAAAACUAAUUGGAGAUUGAUUUUGUUGAGGGUGCUUAGUUGUCACUCGUGUCCGUUCCCUCUUUCGCUUAUAAAUUAUAAUAAUCCUUUCAACACUUCUUUUGUACCCUAGUCAAGAUUGGUAGAUAGUUCUUUUAAAGUAAACCACAUGCCAAAAUGAAAUUAAUCGACCAAUUGAAAUACACAAGAGAUACAAAUAAAUAGAAUCCAAUAUCCUUUAAUUUCUUUGUAUUUUCGUUCACGGCAACUAGAAUUACCCAACCAAAUCAUCAAGUUCAUGGUGCUUGUGGCCUUGAAAUGGAAUUUUCUCUCCUCCUAAAUUUUUGUAUACCAAAAAUAGAAAACAACCACUUCUAGAACAACCAAGGGCAGCAAAAGAGUUUUAUAAUUACAUGCUUGCCAAAGGCGAAACCAGCGUAUAUUUGGUAAAUUCUUGCCUACAAGAAUAUAUCUUGGAAGUUGGAAGCAUGUUUUUAUCGAGGAGUUAUCUCCCAUUUUAUGCAGUUAAUAGAUGUUUGUGACUCCAAAAAAAAACACACACACACACACUUAAAAAGUGUGUUUGGAUAGAGGAUUAUUUGAGACAAUUUUUUGAGAAAAAUACUGUAACAUUUUUUUUUUGAUGAGAUGUAUAUGAAAUAAAAGAAAAAUUAAAAAAUCUAUUGAUGAUACAAGUAAGUAAAUCAGUGUAUGUAAAUAAGAUGCAAACCAAACUAAUUAUGGUUGUUGCUGCAUGAUUAGACUCUGGCUGGCUUUUACUACAAAACAAAAUUUAACACAGUAUCUGCUGUAUUAAUCUGGAUCUAUUUUUUUUUAUUGUUUUAUUUGAUAAUUGAUACCAAUGAGAGAAUGUGUACAGCUACAAGCAGUAGAUAAAUCAGCAUCGCUUUAGGGCGGCUCGAACAUGCAAAACAUCCAUUGUCCUUGUCAAUAAUUUUGGUUGUGGGGUAUUGAUGUUUGUUUAACGAACUGAAUUAGAAUCCAGAGCAUCUCUCAAACAACUUUGUCCGUGAUUAAUUGUUUUUGUUAAAAAAAACAUUUAUCUUUUUUUUUUUAAGAAAAAUAUUUGCUUUUCCAUUCCGAAUAAUUACUCUUUUAACUCCGAUUUAUGAGUGAGACAACAUGCUAGUGACAUCAAGAAGUAGCUAAGGGAAAAAGAUAAGGCAGAAAUAUUAGUGGAUAAAGCUUUCCAUAAAAUUAGAUGACAUUAACCUGUCCCGAGUAUUCAUUUGCAUUAGAGUUUUCUUUUUUCAGAAAUUCCAAAUAUUUACCUCGUCGAAGAUUAACUUAUGGAUUAACAAUUGGAAUCCACAUAGUCCUUUGAUUGAAGCAAAACAUCAGAGGUAACUUGGUUUUAAUUUGGCAUGGUUUAAACAGUAUACUCUUUGGCAUGCUUUUAUCGUGUGGUUGGAUUGUAAGAAACAGGAUAGCAAUUAAAGACAGGUUAUUGUGAUGGGGAGUUGUUUCAGAAGGAUGAUGUUCUUCAUGCGCCUAUAUGCAAAUGAUUCACUGGAGCACCUGUUUUUCUCUUGUGAAUAUAUAUAGCUUAUGUUUUGGGGAGAGUUCGAAGGCAUUUUUGCUUGUUAUAUAUGGGAUUUAUGGUUGUUCUCAAGAACUUAAUUCAACAUAUUAAUAGGGAUGGCAAUAGGGGCGGGUGACCCGCCCCGCGGGGGGCUAAUGGGGAGGGGGUUGGGGCAGGGGCGGGGGGAAUUUUUUUCCCCCCGCUUAGAAACAGGGCGGGGGCGGGGGGUAACCGCCACCUGCUUUAAAAAAAUAAAUAUAUAAAAUAUAUAUGUAUAUAAUUAUAUAUAUAAUAUAUAAUUUAAUUAGUUACAAACUUAUGAUAAUGAUAUUAUUAGUUAUAUGUAUUAUAUAAUGUCUAUUAGUAUAUAUAAUAUAAUUGAUAUUAUUAAUUAUACUAAUAAUUAUAUAUGUGUACUAAUACAAAUUAUUAAUUGGUUAUACUAAAUUUACUAAUACAUUUAUACUAAAUCCCUAAUUACACUUAAUACAACAACAUUUUUUUCUUAAAAAAAGCACAAGCACAAUAAUGAAUUAGUGAUUGUAUUUGUGCCAAAAGUGAAAACUUGACUACUUUAGUUAUAUUUAUUUCAUCAUGUUGGAUUGUAUUUAAAUAAUUUUUAUUUGAUUGUUUUUGUAAGUUUCAAUUAUAAAAUUACAAUGAAUAAUAAUUUGAUGAUGUGUUGAUAUUUUAGUACUUGAUUAUUUGUUAAAAUUUAACCAUAAUAAAAUUAUAUAACAAAUUUUUAUUAGUCUCGCAGGAGCACCCGCGGGGAAAACGGGGCGGGGGGAGCGGGGGACGGGGGAUGGAGGAGGGGUCCCCCAUCCCUACAUAUUAACUAUGGUUCUUUUAUCACUAUGGUCUGUAAAUGUGCUUUUGCAGUGACUAUUUAUAUUUUAUACCCCCUAUGGAGAGAGGAACAGAAGGCUGCUUUGUAGAAGCACUAUGGCUGCAGAUGCUAUCAUUCAAUCAAUUAUGCAGAUGAUUGGGAAUAUUGUGUAAAUUAGGAGUUUAGUUACAAUGGAAUUUUGUUCCUGAUGUCUUUCCUUUGAAUCAGAUUAUAGUGCAGGAGUUUUACUGCUUUGUGACUGCAUAUUGCUUUUUCUAAUAAAAGUUUAUUAAUCGCCCGAGAAAAAAUAAAGGCCAUGGCUCGUCAAAUCUUGAUUUGCUCCUACGCUAUUGCUGUGCCUAGAGAUUGGCAAUAAUGUUUGAAUUUGUAAAAAUUUAGCCUAAUUUGAAACUUUAACUCAUUUUAAUCUGUCGCGCACUCUCAAAAUACUAUGACACUCAUAUGUAAAUUACAUUAGAAAAGAAAAUUUUGGAAGAUACCAUGUAAUUGCAAGGAAGAUAAUGGAAAUUAUGCUUAUUUGAUGAAUUUCUUAGAGGGCUUAAUCCUAAAAUCCGAAAAAAUAAAUAAAUAAUUUCUAUCCUAGUUUUGUUUUAAAGGAAAAAGAAGGAAAAGAAGACCAAAACUUUUAGGGUAAAGUACAUAAAACCCCCAUGUGGUUAAGGAAAUUGACACGAAACCUCCUCAUUGUUUAGAAACUCUCACUUAACCCUCCUGUGCUUUGGACUUAUUUGAAUUUUACCUGCUAACCGGCUGAGGAGCCGGUAAUAAUAUGAAAUACCAAAAAUACCCUCAUAUAUAAUAUGUGAAAAGUUACAGAUGCAACGAGUCAAUCUGGAGCGGAUGAAAGAAACUGAGAGAGAAACCGGGUUAUUCUCUACCUUGGACAUAGUUUGGAUUAUUCGGUCUUUCAGCUGAAGUAGUUCUUCAGCCUCGGACAGGGGACGCCUUAGGUUCUCUGGAAGAUUUCUAUUUUCCAGAAAUAAGUGUUCUUGGAUUUCCACCAGCGGCGGAGUAGGAAAGCGAGGCACGGAAAAGUGGUGGAGUUGGAAAUUUUGGGAAAGGGUUUUUUGCAAUCCAUCCCAGUCAAUCUCUGGAUGCCGUGGAACUUCAAUCCCCGGUUGACCCAAAUGCAAGUCCAGAUCAAGAUCCCCCAAAUCAGCAUGAGGAAUGGCCUGUUCCAUCGCAUAGGCCACCGGCAGCGGCACCAUAGACAUGAGAAUGAAAGCAAAGGGAAGAAUCUUUGCCGGUCCAUUCACGACGAAGAGUUACCAAAAAACAGCCAAAAUACUGCAAAGAAAGCAAAGGGUCAAGCAUAAUUAGCAAGGAAGACAAACGGUUGAUGAGUAAACCUUGAGCAGGAGCUUUAUCCGAAUGCCAAAGGCAAUAGAAAAGCCCCUUCCACAGCCUUUUCAUAUCAUCCUCGGGAAGUUCGGUUUGAGAGUCUGACAGCCAAGCUUGAAUUAGCUUGAGGGAUUGGGAUUUGAUUGAGGCGUUGCAAGAGGCUAAGUGCUUAAUCAAGGACGGCCCAGGUAGGGCUGAGAGGGUUGCUAAAAAGGGUUUCGGCUUUGGGGUUCGUGGAGGAAGCAGUAGACGUGGUUCCCGUUUUGUCCUUGGCUUUGAUUUUCUGCAUUUUCUGGGUUGCGGUUUCAGAUUGGGAAGCAGUAGACGUGGUUUUUGCUAUUUUUACAGGCUUGGAAAAUUUGCUAACUAAUCCUUAGACUAUUUAUGAAGUUUUAAUAUGGUGCGACUUUUGAUUUACAACUGUUUGCUCCUCCAGCUGCCCAGUAAUAACUCGCAUCGCUCAGCAAUACAGUUACCUUCUUCCGUUUUGCAUCUUUGGCCCUUCCCGUCCAAACUUUGGGUCUUCGUUUUGCAUCUCUGUCGAAAUUUUUCAUUUGCAGAUCUACAACUAUGGUGGGUGCAAGCUUGGAAGAGACAUGGAGGACAAAAUUGGAAUGAAAUGAGUUUCUGCUAGACACAAGUUACCAUUAAGUCGCGUAAAUAUCACUCGCUAGCUCUCCAGCCGGUUAGCAGGUAAAAUCCAAACAAGUCCAAAGCACAGGGGGGUUAAGUGGGAGUUUCUAAACAAUGAGGAGGUUUCGUGUCAAUUUCCUUAACCACAGGGGGAUUUUAUGUACUUUACCCAAACUUUUAUGGCUUUCAUGGGUUCAAGUUUCGUCCAUUCGCGGACAUGCGCAUCCAUCCAAGUCUGCUUUUCGGAAGCCGAGUCCGUUCAUCAAUUUUGGGCGAAAAGUGUGGCUCGAAAUGGACAAGCUGCUUGCUUCGUACUGGUUUUUCCAACCCAUCCAAGGUAAUUCUGACGUGGCUCAGUGGGCUUAUGAAAAAUUGCCUGAUAUGAGACACUUAUGAGGUUUUCUAAUUUUGUUUGAUGUUGGACCGGCCUAGCGCUAAACUCAAACCCAUUUCAGCUUCUCGGUCCAUGCAUCUUGCAAGUUUAUUUUAUUCUACUGCUUCUUGGUCCAAGCAAAUUCUUCUAGGAUAUCUUUAAAGUUUAAUCCAUAUUUGUUUCUGUAAUUUGAAUUGCACUUUAAAACGCCAAAGGCAAAGAUUCAUGGCCGGUAAAACGAAGGCCAUGAGGUUAUAUACUUAAAAACUUAAUUGCCAAACAAGUUGGGUUUUAGGACAUGCUGUCCAAUGACUAGCUUGAUUCGACAUCCUUUAAUUUCUCCAUGAGAUACGAAAGUUUCAGUGCAAUAAGUGUGCCUUUUGACAAUGAGGAACACCAAAAGUCUUUAGGGCUUGGUGAGUGGGAAGCCAACCUUAGCUCUCAUCAUUUGCUAUUUUACGUGGUUUGUCAUUUUAAGUUAUUUUUUUUACAUUCAUACGGAUUUGUAGUGUACCCGUUUGAUCUGAUGAUGGUUGAAUUUUUGUCGAUUUUCCUGUAGAUUCGAUUGGACUUCCCCUAGAAUAGGCUAAAAUAAGAAUAAGAGUAGGUAUAAGAUAGAUAAGCGACAAUUGACAAAAAAAAUAAUAAUAAAGGACCAUGAGGAACACCAGAAAAUUAUAAAAGUCCAUUCAAACACACCCUUGGUCCACACUCUACUCAGUAUUCAACGUUCAAAUUUCAAGUUUCAAUCCAACCAAAGGGCUUUAUUUUCAUUUUCCACUCACCACUCGCUGCACCACAAACUAACAUCAUAAUUCUAGAAAAUGACAUAGAAAUUCAUAGUCAAAGCACAUCCAUUGGAUUCUUUGCAACAAAAUACUUGUAAUUAGGAUCAUCAGACUCCACAGUAGGUUUUGACAAAAAAAAAAAAAAAAAAAAAAGACUCCACAGUAGGAUUUAAUUCGACACUUGGAUUUCUGCCCCUCCUUAGUCAAGCAGAAUAGAAGAUACUUGUAGGGAUCGAAUGGCUUGUGCUGCAACGGAUGCUCAUCAUCAACUAGCUUUUCUAGUACUUGAACCAUCACGUCCCUUGUGAAUGCAAAUAGGCUGAGGGAAUAUCUUUCUUCACUCCCUGAAUUUUUACCCGAGGAAGUGGAGGUUCGAUCCUGCCAUUAGUCCAUGCCUAGAAAGGCCAAAUUAAAACAACAUUUAGAUUGAAAAUUAAGUCAAGCCAGUUUUAAGCAUAGUUAUUAAACCCGACCCGACCCGACCCGGCGGUUGAACCAGUCAAAUUUGUGGACCCGCCAUAAAAUCGGGCAGGAUUGAUAAUUGGAUCGGAGUUGCAGAUGACUCGUUUGGAAUUGUUUGACCCGAACAGUCAAACUAAUGACCUGCCAAACCCGGCAAUUUUUUAUGAAUCCAGCGGGUUUCGAAAUUUUUUGAAAUUAUCGUUUUACCCAAUUUAUUAAUUUAACUGCCCAUAUCAGCAUGGGCAUUUGUUGUCUUUUUAACAAUUAGAUGAGAAAAAUUGAAAAGAAAUUUAGGAUUUAGGAUUUUUUUUCUUUCUUUGACACUUAGAUUUGUCAUUUAUAUUUGUGUAUAAUAUCAAUAUGAAUUAUUGAAUUAAGGAACACGUAUGGGUAUGAAUUAUGAAAUAUGAAUAGGUUAUGGUUUAUUAACAUUUAAGAAUUUUUGUACUUAUAUUAUAAUUUAUAUGUUUAUUUAAUUAUAUUAUAUAGUAUGAUCCGACGAUUCAACCAGUGAUCUGUCGGUUGAAUCACUGACCUGCCAACCUGAUCCUCCAAUCAGGUUAUGAUUUUAAUAAUUAUGAUUUUAAGUAUUACAACUAGUGUAAAUGUCAUAAUAUAUAGGUGUAUACAAAAUGAUUAUAUAUAUAUAUAUAUAUUUAACUUCCGGUAAAUAUGUAAAACGAAUGAAGGUCAAGAAGGCCGUAGUUUAGUUACGAAGAUUGAGAUUUAGGAAUUAGAUCUUGUUUGGAUUGCGGUUUAUUUGUCAAAAUAUAUUUGCUUACAUCAUCAUUACAAUUUCCAAUACACCUUUUUAUCUUUCCAAUUACCUUUUUAUCUCACAUACAUCACAUCACAAAAAGUGCUAUAAUAAAAAUAUCUCUAAUAAUUCACAAUCCAAACAAUUGAAUUUAAAUUUUCUGUUCCUCCGAGCACUUCUUAAAUCUUACUCUCUUAAAGAAGCAAAAAAAAAAAAAAAAAAGUGGUAGAGCGAAGAAAGUAAUGGGACGUGGCAUACCAUACAUACAUCCCCCGCCAUGACAAUGAAAGAAGAAGGAGAUAAGGAAUCAAUAAGCAUCUAUCCGCCAUUCUUGGUCUUGAUCUCUAGACCAUUUACUUGUGCUUGAUGAAGACUGGACCUGAAGGUCCGGUCAGUGUGAUGGAAAAGACCGACAUUGCUUUCAUCUUCUCGGGGCCCCCUGUAAUUGAUUAGCCUAAAAAGGUAGUAAAUGGAUCCGAGAAGUGAUUCACAAUCUUUCUCUACACCGUAAGUCUCUGCCACCAUCCUCAUCACCACAUGAUAUAGUUCAGCAACAAGCUUUGAGUACGAGAGUGUUGUGUCACUGUUCAAUUCAAGAAAUCAUAACCCUGAAAAGCACUAGUAAUUUAACAUGUCAAGUGAAAUAACCACUCCACUGAUUAACUGAUGGCAGAACACGCAUUCACACAUUUAUAAAUGAGUACACACCUAAAAUGAUUGUUUCCAUUGCGCCAUAAGACGUUGGUGAAUUUCUGAACUCCAUCAAAAGUUGUGCCAUUUUCGAUGCCCAAAGCUUCGAGCAAAAGAAUUCUACGGUGUCCGAUCUAGCCAUGAGAAGGUGAAUCAGAAAGUGUCGAGGACUUUGGUUUCCGUCGGGAGAUCAAACAACUCCAGGGAUGCACGAAAGAUAGCCUGGUGAAGUUCCAAGGAAACCUUACCGUAGUUCGCUAUGAAACAGCCAUACUCUUCCAGGGCUCAAACAACUUCUUCCCGUGUCGAGAGCCAACGAGUAGAACUGGGAUUCAAGGUUUGCCCAGUGAAGUCUAGAACAGGAAGCUGGUUUUGCCUUGAUACAGAACCCAUGAAAAGAAUCGAGUAUCCUGUUGGUAGCUGGCUUUGCUCGGAGUUUUCCUAGUUUUAGAAAUGGCAAAGGAAAAUCUUUGGUAUAUGCUAAUAGCUAAGUACUACUACCAUUCAAUUCACGCGUACGAUACUUAUAAUUGUGGGUGGAAAAGGGUGUUAUGGCAUGUACUCCACUUUCUUUCUCCUUUUUUUUUGGAUAAUUUUUGUUCACCUCUAAUUGCUCUCGUAAUAUAGAGCAUCUGGUAGCAUUUUAUUCAUGAUUAGUGCACAAUACUGAAGUACAGUGAAGGCGUUAAGCAUUAAUUAAUGGAAAGCUAAGUACAUGGAAUGCCUUCAGCAUUUUAUUCAUUAUUAACUAUUAACUAUUGAUAAUUUGAUAUGGUAGAAUAAACGUCCUUUCCAACAUAAACUCAAAAAUCCCCUUUCCUACAGCAGUGCAGCUUAUCUGCUGUUCCUACAAGGCUACAACUCGGGACGGCUCCCUUCGAUACAUUGUCCCCUUGGAGUCACUACUAUUUUAAACGUAUUCAGAUGCGGUAAGAAGCCUUUUGGGUAGAGUAGUUGGACAUUGGGUAUAGGUCAUGGAAUCAAAAUCUCUUAAUUUGUAUUCUAUAAAUUCGGCUUAUAUUCUAAAAAUUCAAGAUUUCCUGAAAAUUUCAUCAGAGUGCAUAGGAUCCCCUAUUAUAAAGUAAGAAUAUGUAUAGAAUAAAAUCUAUCGUAUUAAAAAGAAAAAGAAAAAGAAGCCUUUUGGAUCGUGAUCUUGCAAGUUGUAAUAUCAUAUCUUGUUACUAUCAGAUGGGUCAUGAGGGACUCCAAGGCAAUGAGAAAAAAAAAAAAAAAAUCUCCUCAUAAUAAUCCUAACUUGUUUUAGGAUAAAUUGAGUCACAACUCACACAUGAUUCAAUGCCUCAUUCUUUGGCUUCAUAACAGCUAUACUUGAAAUGCUUUUUGAUCUUAAUAGACAUCGUCUUAGUAACUAGGCAUGUCAUGGGCAAUGUUUGAAUUAUAUCCCUUUGAUCCAGAUUCAAGCUCAUUAAAUUUAGUUAGACCCAAUGUCAAACCCUUUUGGGUCUGAGAAAAAAAGUCCAUACCCAAAUUCUCUUGAAUUUGGGUAUCCAUUAGGUAUUCGUUAUAUUUUUGUAAAUGUACUAAAAUAAAAAUAUAUUAAAAAUAUAUAGAUUUCAAAAAAAUAUAUAAACACCAUCCAAUUUUUAUUUUCAAAUAAUAAAAUUAAUAUUCAAAAAGUUGAAUGCAAUGUUAUGAACUCAAAAAAAUAACUACUAUCAACUACUUUUAUUUAUUUUUAAGGAAAAAUUUCAGAUAUCUCUCCCGAGGUUUCUAACAGUCUCACUCCCUCCCCCUAAGGUUUCCAAAAUAUCACAAACUUCUCCCGAUAGACUUUUGGGUUCUAUUUCUUUCAUCAUCAUAGUCAAAAAGACUUAAAUACCCACACAACUUAGCAAAUAUUUUGUGAUUAUCUAAACAAAUUUAGUUAAGUUAGUUAUAAACACAGUUAAAGUAAUUAACAAUAAAUUAUGUUCCUUUAAUGAAUACAUAAAAAGGCUUUAGCAAAAUGACGCCAAAAUAUGGCGCCAAUUGGUAUAUAUAUAAAGCUGCAGGUACAUAUUGUCACUUCUCCUUAGUCUCUUCCAGCCAUUUUUGAUCAUUUGCAAAGAAUGACCUUUUUCCAUGGCGGUAGGGAUUGAAUCUUGCUUAUAAAAAGAUGAUUCCAUUAGCUACUAGGCGGUACUGCUGCCACCACAUUUGCAGCAACUUUAGGCUUCAGUUUCCUGGACUAUUAUUGAACGAUUUAUUCUGGAAAGCUGCUAAGAGCUAUGAUGCAAUAGGUUACAACGAAGCAAUAAUGAGCAUUAAAGACAUUAAUGUAAAAGCAUGGAGAUACUUAUCAAAGAUUUCACAUGAAUCUUGGAUUAGGCACGCAUACUCAAAUGAGAUGAAGUGUGAUAUGUCACAAAUAAUUUUACUGAAUCUUUCUUCAUGCAUAGCUUCACUUACACCCCUUCAAGUUUUAUUUUUGGUAAACUUCCUGUUUAUUCUUCAUGUGAUAUUAGCUCAUAAUGCAAGACAAUGAGGUCAUAGUUGUUUCUCUCUCCAACUCCCCAUUUUUUGUUGUUACUUUUUUUGAAAUGGGUUGGAUUUGAGAAUGCCUAUUUAGUUUUAGGGGAGGUUUGUGAUAUUUUGGAAACCUCAGAGGAGGUAUCUAAAAUUAUCCCUAUUUUUAAAGCUUCGACUAUAUUUACAUUUCAUCUUUCAUUUAUUUGCCUUUAUUUUUUCUCCUUUUUUCUUAAAAAGUUUGUACAAAUUAUAAUGACAACUAGAUUGAAAAAAGAAAAUAAUCAUGAAGUCUUAUUGUAUUCAGUCCAAUAACCAUAGAAUAUUAGAAUAUUAUAUAAAUUUACUAAUAUAUAUAAUUUAAUUAUAUAUAUAUAUAUAUAUAUAUAUAUGAAUCUGGAUAGAGUCUGGUGUGGGUUUGAAUUUAGAUAUAAAUAAUAAAAAAUCAUACACUAUCCAGACCCAUAACUUUUUUACAGGGCUUGGGUCUGGGUAGGGUUUAGAUCUGAGAAAUUAAAUUCAAACCCUACUCAAGUACAUUGGGUUUGAAUUGGAUCUAAAUAAGGUCCGAUCCAUUGACAUGUCUAUUUGUAACUAUAAACACACACACUUGCGUGUAUUAUUCCCUUGUAUUUAACAAAUUUAUCUAUUUAACUUCAUUCUAUUAAAAAUAUAUUAUUAUUUCUCACCAGUGCCCGCAAGUUGUUUGCUAACAAGCAAGUUUUUUACGCUGAUUCAGAUAAGACUGAUAUGUUUUUCUCUUUAACUCUCCUUGUAAUAUCUUAUUUCUACCAAUGCAGUUUUCACAUUAACAAUAAAAUUAAGUUCUAUUCUGCUUACCUCUUGUUAGAAGAAUCUUUUCCAAUCUUUUCUGUGGGAAAUACCGAAGGUUACCUUGAUAUUUUUAAAAGUCAUUGGUGAAGAAUUUAGUAAACUCGUCCUAUUGGUCUAUCGUUCAGAAGGAAAAAUUUCAUCAUCUUUUAUGAGCAAGGGUUUAUUUUCAAUGGCUUUGAUUCAAACGAACAAGGCUUACCUCAAUGUUUCUAAUCUUUUUGAAUAAUUUUGAUGAUGGGGUCCUUAAAAUAUUUUGGUUCAUCACGAUAUAUUUUAUUAUUCAAGAUUCAUGAUUUCUAUAGGUAGGGUUUCCUUUCUUUCUAAUCUUAAAAAAUCUCCUUUUCCAAUUUCAUAGUUUGUAAGAACUGGAGAGUAGUCCCAGUACUCACAAUUAGGGGUGGCAAUUCGGGUCCAAAUCAGGUUGACGGGUCGGGUUCGGGUCAACCCGUCAGAAAAUCUGUUGACCCGAACCCGACCCGCCAACCCGUGACAGGUCAGGUAUGCUGACCCGAAUCCGAAAAUUUCGGGUUGGCGGGUCAACCCGAAAUGAUCCGAAACUUAAUUUUAAUUUAUUAAUUUAUCACUGUAAUUUCUAAUAAAAUCAAUUUCUCACAAAACUAAUUACAUAAUCAAGUAAUAAAAAUUUAAAUAAAUAAUUCCAAACCAAAUCUAAAAUAAAUUAAACACCGUAAAAGUGUUUUAUCCCAAACAAAAUAUAAAAUAAAUUAAAACAAUAUAAAAGUAAAAAAUAAUAUAAUAUAUUCUUUGUCCAAAUAUAAUAAUUUCAACUUCACACAAAUUAAAUAAAUUCAUUUAGGAUUAAGUAAUUAAUGCCUUUGAAAAAAAGAAUAACUUAGUUUAGUUAGAUAAAAUUAUUUUUAUGUUUAUUAAAUUAUUUUUAAUUCGUAAACGGGUUAUAUCGGGUCAUAUCAGGUCACCACGGGUUGACCCGAAAUCGACCUGUUUUCUUUUCGGGUUCAUCGGGUCCAACCCGAUUCUGACCCGAAUUCCCGAAACCUCAACCCAAACCCAUUAAUUUCGUGUUAGGUUCGUGUCGUGUUUUCAGGUCGUGUCGAAAAUUGCCACCCCUACUCACAAUCCUGUAUUUCGCCAGACACAUUAGUACAGUUUUGGUGAUAUCAAUUUUUUAUAAUUAUUUAGGAUUUAUCUUUUUUUAUAUUGACCAUGCAUUCAAUAGUAUCAUUGAACGUAUAACAAUUAAUUUAAAUUUGAAUUUAAAAUCUAAAUUUUAUACAUUUCAAUGUGUUUACACUAUUAAUACUAGGUGCAUUUAAUAAAAUUGAAAUUUGAAAUCUGAAUUUUGAAAUCUGAAUCUAUUAAAUUACUAAAUUGUUAAUUAUUAAAUAUGAUACAUUUGAAUGCACUUAUUUUUUUGGAGCAAAUUUUGUUUAAACAAUUCAGUGUCAUUUAAUUAAUUCAGAUGUUCCACUUUUUUUAUGAAGCACAUCUGAAUAUAUUAAGAUUUAAAUUUAUUAAAUUUAAAUGCUAAAUUGAAUUAUCAAAUAGAGCUUAUAUAAACUUACGACGAAAUUCUCGUUACAAAUUCGUAGAGGCACUUGUUAGUGAUGAAAAUCAAAACGGAUUUGCUAUACGAGCCCAUUAAUUGCCCAGAUUUGGCAACUAAAGUUGAGUAAGACAUUUGAAUACAUUUAUUUUGCAAGAAAAAUUAUGGGUUUGUAGAAGUGAACAAUCAGUAGAGGCCGAAAAAUGGAAUUUAUAGCUUGGACUAAGACACUGCAACACCUGACCAAUUUUGUUACACCUUCGGCCCAUUUUGGUUACCAUUUUCAAGCAGUCUGCCUCAAAUUUCCAUUUUUAGGUUCCGUUUGAUAAAACUGAAUUUGAAUUCUGAAGUCUGAACUCUAAAAUCUAAAUACUGAAACAAUUAAUUUACUGAAUUUUAAGCACUGAAAAGAAAUAUAUGAAUGUCUGAAUUUUAAUGUUGAACCUAUUUAUAUUAUUUGAUACGCAUUUAUACUGAAUGCUUAAUAAGUUAAAUUCUUAUAUCUUUUCAUCCAAAAAAGAAAUAGAACCUAUGAUUUAAUUAGUUUAAAAUUUUUAGGCAUGAAAAUGACAAUAUUUAUUUUUAAAUCAAAUUAAUAUAAAAGAUGAAAUAUAUUAUAUGAUGGGUAUGGAGAAGAUGUGAAAGUCAUUAGAAAGGAAGAAAAGAGAAAUAGAAAAUCAUUAGAUAGAGAAUAUUAAGUUGUUUAAUUAGAUAAGAAUUUUGAAUAUAAUUAAUAAAUAAGGGUAGAUUUGGUAGAUAACAUAAGAUAGUUGAAGUUAUUCUAUUGAUUCUUAUCAAAAUUAAGCAAUUAAUUAGGAUUCUUGUGUUGAAAAAAAUACACACAAGUUCAGCACUACUUAACAAAUUCAGCAAAUGUAUUUUCAUUUAUUAAACACUCAAAACAUCUGAAUGUCUGAAAAAGUUCAGAUUCAGUACUUUUUAAUGUUAUCAAACAGACCCUUAGUAUAGGACAACCCAGGUCACCGGAUCUCCUAAGCUUGGUCAAAAAAAAAAAAAAAAAAAAAAAUUGCUCACUCUGAAUUGAAUUGUUUAAAGUAAAUUAUCAGGAUCCGUUUGACUGAGCAUGUUUUUUGGUGUUUGUUUUAGGGAAAAAAAUUAAUGUUUGUUCAAAACUAUUUAUUUUUCCAAAAAAAAAAAUUUCCUAUCUAAUACUAUAUGUUUAUUGAUAUUUUUUAAAAUUUAUGAGUAUUUUAGAGUGCUAUCGUAAAUAACUAGACUUUCCAUACCUUCAAAACAGAGCUGCCAAAACAGUCCUAUCAAUCUUAAUUCGAACUAGUCAAAGAGAGGUAAAAAACAGAUUUUAUUCUCCAGAAAUCAAAUCAAACUAGUCAAAGAAAAGAAAAGAAAAGAAAAGAGGAUGCUUGUGGGAUUUUCUAUCGAGAGAUCAACUUCAAGAUAAUAGCACAGCAAACAAAAAGAUUGGAAGACUCGCUUAUUGGAAUAUUCCUGUAGUGGACAAAAAGAUUGGAAGACCUUUUAUGAUUCUAUUAUCGGAAUACUAAACAGUCAAAUGAAUGGAGGACCCAUAGAUCUUAUUAAUCUAGCUCAAAAAUCUUGAGAAAUCAAUAACGCAAUAUAGCUAAAAAUCCUUUAGAAAUCAACUGUGUGAAAUUUAGACACUUGACAGGUGACGAAACUGUGUAAUAAUAAAUACUUACUCACGAAAAUAUAUAAACGAAUAUAAUGGUAAAUAAGAUUGUUUUUACAGGGACCAGGAGAAGAAUUUGUCUCUUUCCAAAUAAAAACUAAUUGAGAGUUUUGAGAAAUUAAAAUUAAAAUAAAUGAUCAGCGUAAAUAAAAAAUAAUUAAAUUAAGACAAAUUAAAUUCAAAUCAAGAAUAAACAAGCUCUAGUCAAGGAAAAAAUUUCAAAAGUGGUUCAUAAAACAGUUCAUCAAUGCAAUAAUUAUUUCAUCUAUACAUUAAAAAACAGGUUAUAGUUGCCAAUAUGCGAUGACAACCAACUUUUUCUUACCGUCUCGAUAGUUAAAGUACGUCCGUUAACUACUUUCCUAACCAAAAAAUAACGCUAGGUACCCCCAGAGAAUUUAAUUUUUUGAUUACAUUAUAAAAUAGAAAAAUCAUGUUCUAAUCAAUAAACACACUACCAAAAUUUAUUUAAAUUAGAUUAUAUGUUUUCCUAACAUCACGCGAGUCACCAUUAAUUUAAAAUAAUUAAAUAAUUAUGAAUUUAAUUGUCUUAAGUGGCGUUAGUUUGCUAAGGUGAAUUAAAUAUCGGGUGCUUUUGAUAUUCAAUCAACAAAACAACCAUAAAAAAUUAAAUUAGAAAAAAUAUAUGAAUACUAACAAAUAGAAGAAAUAGGUAAAAUAAUUAGAUCUUACAGAUGCAGUUGAACCAAAUCGUUCACUAUCUCUUGACUAGAAAAAGAAAAUUGGUUGCCUUCCAUUGGGAAUAAACCAAGCAACUUCAUUGAUAAAUGUUGUAUCAGCUGGGUUCGAUAAUAGACAAUGAAAGGGAAAAGAAAAGCCAAGAAACGACCGCCCCUCGUUCUUGCCUCUAGUCCCGGCUAAAUAAAUAGAUUCUCUCUCAAAAUUUAUCAAAAGCCAAAUCCUUCCUCGACAUGUUUCCUUUCGAAGCUAUUACUUCUACUAAUAUUUCUAAUUUCCUAUGAAAGGAAUAUUUUCCUAAAUUAACAUAAGAUAAUUCAUUGUUGUUUUCCAAUACAAUUUGGAAACACACUUCUUAGGUCUUCAACUUAAAUUGAGAAACUACCACGCACAUAAUUUUCAACUUCUCCGGACUUGAAGGCUAACUUUAGGUUCGGCCACGAGGAACAAGUUAAAAAUCUUCAUUAAACCACUUUUUACUUCAUUUCUUGUCAAAUUCCUAUGGUCAGUACCAAUUGUCAAAUAUAAGUAGAAUCCAUCUAAUGCUAUAAUAUUUGGCAAAUAUCAAGGGAAAAUAUUCACAAUUUAAUAUCCAUUAUGCAUCCUAUCAAUUCCUCGCACACCUAAACCAUGUUUAUUCUUAAGUAUGAAAACAACCAAUCAAACAAUCGCGUUCAAACAGUGGCUAUCACUCAAAUCAUUUAUUGCCAACGUAUAAUUAAAACACACGUCAAGCAUUAGUGGCUAGUUUUUAAGAAAUAUCUCUCCGAUUAGUUUUUAAAACCAAUAACUUUUUCACUUUCUAAAUCACUAAUCUAAGAAUAUAAAUAUUCAACCAACAUUCAUUAGCAAAUAGUUCGACUAUUAAGCAAAAUCUCAAUACUAAAACUCAUGGAUUAGUAGGCUAACCAUUCACAUACUCUUACUUUCAUAUACAUUUUUUCAUUUUUCACCAUUAGCACAACUUUUUUCUCCUUUCUAAGAUGUCCUUAUAUUUGAUUUUUUCCUAUUUUUAGGGGGAAUGCUUGGUUCUUAACCAUUCAAGUUUUUUAACCUGAAUUUCAGCAUCUACCAAAUAAAUCAAUCCGGUUACUCAAUUCUCAUUGCCAUCGAAUCACAUACUUAUAAUUAUUGUCACUUUUUAAUGCGAAAGUCGACACUUGUGAUAAAAAUUCCCUGUUAACAGACAGCGAUAAUUAGUGCAGUAUAGCCAACUACUUGUCAUAAAUAAGUAUCAAAAAUAAAAUUAAAAACCACAUCAACCUACUUCAUUUUUCAACUACGAAGAACUAAAAUUAAUAAUUGAACCAAUAUUUAUUAAAAAUGUCAAAAAAUAUUUACAAUUCAUAAAAUCUCAAAUAUCAUCAGAGAGAUACUUUUAGAUCUUACUAUAUCAUACUUAACACAUUAAUAUAUAAAAUCUUAGUAAUAAAAAAUUUGAGACAUUUAGCCAUUAUUGAUUAGAAUUAACCACAAAAUUGCACAAAAAUGAAAAAAAAUAAAUAAAAUUCAAAAACUUUAACAAAAAGUUCAAUCUAAACGCCUAAAAGGAAUAGUACCACUAUACUAUACCCCCCAAAAGAAUCGAAAGGGAACAACAAAACUUUUUUGAUCAGCGAGGGGGGUAUAGCAGCUAUGGAUAAGGGGCAAAAGGAGGAGUACAAUAGACAGAAUGGUUGCAGCGCUGACCAUAACUAGCAAAGGCGAGCAGUGAUGAUGACGUCCAAACUCGAUGACAUUUUCUAAAUGGCGAUGGAAAAGAGUUCGUCGUUUGGAAUAUAAGGGGGAAAGAAAAAAAAUGAAAAGAAAGAAAGAGAUAAGGAAAAAGAAAGAAAAGAAAAGAAAGAGAAUAAUUAGAAUUUUGGGAUUUUUUUGCUCCCCUUUGUUGGAAUAAGACGCGGGCAUGUCUUAUUACUCUGUAGUUUUCUAAUAAUGAUUUUGAAAUUUUUACGAGAUUCAGCGCGCUCUCAAAACGUGGCACGUUUUGUUUCCCGGUUGUCUUUUGAAAUUUUUGAAAUUGAAAUAUGAACUUGCCAGUCAGUUAGACGUGGGCACGCCUUGCUGGAUAGCAGUUUUCUAUCCACUAAAAUAGUAAAACGAAAGUCAAACACAUAAAAUAUAAGAAAUUUAAACUAAAAAUAAUAAAAAUGAUAACAAUGAACUUAAAAUUGAAUUAGGUUGUCUCCUAAUAAGUGCCUUUUUUUAACGUUCUUGGUUAGACAUAAUGUAUCAUUUUUCAAUUCAAUUGUAAUUCAAACUUUCUUGCAAUUGAUGAAAUUUCUCCAGGAUCCAAAUCACCACUAUAUAUAAUCACCUUCUUUAACUUUUUAUCCAUUUUCACAUCAUAAGUUACUUUUAACCCAUGAUGCUUGGUCGCAACAAUUUUUAACUUACCCCUGUAAUUAGAUUCAGAAAAUUCUCGCACAAAGAGAUUAAUAGUAUAAAUGACAAACAUAAAAUGAGAGUUAAUAGGAUAUUUCAUUGCGUCAAAAAUAUUAAAAUGGAUUACUUCUUCAACAAAUUCUAUCGUAAGAAUAACCUUACUAACAUCAAUCUUAGUUUGAAUAGUACUCAAGAAGGAUUUCCCUAAUAUAAUGGGUGAUGAAUUUGAAACGCUUCUAUCAUUCAUCUAAAGCACAUAAAAAUUAGUAGGAAAAACUAAAUCCAUUAACUUGCACUAAAAUAUCUUCAAUCACCCCAUCCGAAUAAGCAAAUGAAUAAUUAGAUAAUUAAAUUAUUAUCCCCGUUUCUUUUCAAAAAUCCUAAAUUUAGAGAAUCAUAAAUAGAUUUAGAUAUCACAUUAAUAGAAGUCCUAAAUCUAGUAUGAUAUUUUUUAAUUCUAAAAUAUCCAAUCGUACAGGGGAUAGUAAACAUACCUGAAUUCCCACAUUUAAGUGUUAGUUUUCUUUGUAAAAUCACUGAAACAUUUUCAUCUACAUGAUUUGCUCAUCCCCUUUUAAUUUCUUCUUAUUAAUGCACAAGUUCUUAAAAAAUUUAGUACAUUUUGAUACUUGUUUGAUUGUUUCAAUAAAGAGAUAUUGAUUGCCAUCUUCCGGAACAUCUCCAAAAUUUCUUUUUCUUUGACUUGUCGUUUUGACAUCUCCAACCUAUUAGGGAAAGGUUGGGGUUAGUAUUAAUUUUAAUUGAAGAGUCCAAAGUUACCACAAGAGUUGCCUUGUUUAUUUCUUCUUUUUUCAACUCAUUUUUAAUUUGAUUUUCGCUCUUAUCCUUCGAAACUAUAGUUUUGGACCUUUCAAUUUCCUUUCCACUUUGAAGGGUCAUGGCGCUAACGUUCUUAGAAUUCACCUCAAUCUGAGAAAGGAGUCUUCCUUUCUCUUGAGACUCCAAGCAAUGUAUUGUAUGGGUCAUAUGACUCAUCUGAUUUUAUAUAUCUCGUAUACUUGGCUUCGUUUUUUGUUGGAAUUGCAAAGUAUUAGAAACCAAUAUUUUUAGCAUAUCUUCUAGAUGGUUAUGAAUUAGGAGUAACGGGUUAAGGUCUUGAUAGAUACUGCAGUUGGAAUCCUUGCUGUCUAUUGGAAAAGAAAUUUUGUUGCUUAUUUUUCUCAUAACUGAAAUUUGGGUGGUCCCUACAACCUAAAUUGUAUGUGUUGGAAUAAGAAUUAUAUUGUUUGCAUGGCGCAGACACGUUACCAUCCAUGUUCAUUUGUUCAACACUAUCAUCCUGUAGCAUCGGGCAUUUAUUAGUAAGAUGGCUAGUAUCUUUGCAAAUUUCACACGCCUUGACUUGUUCCCUACUGCCAUCUGUCAAAUCAUAGAUGUUAAUUCAGACAAUUGCACUUGAAGUAAUGAAAUAUUCACCUCGUUCACUCGACGAGUUGGCACAUCAUCCCAUGUGCCAAAUUAUUGGGAAUUAUCAGCCGUCUCUUCAAUCAAAUCCCAAGUUUAUCGAGGAGUCUUGUUCACUAAUGCACCUUCACUUGUGGCAUUAGUGAUGCUUCUAUUUCUAUAGAGUAAGCUUUUAUAAAAGUAUUGAAUGAGCAAUUGAUCACUGAUUUGGUGCUGCAGGCAAUUGGUGCACAAUUUUUUAAAUAUUUUUCAAUGCAUAGAUAUUCUCUGGGUUGCUGCUUAAUACCAUAAAUUUCUUUUUACAAAUUGGUAGUUUGGGAUGUAGAAAAAUUUUUAGAAAAAUUUUUUUCUUCAUAUCUAUCCAUGUUGUAAUGCUCCCCACGAGCAAAUAGUAUAGCCAAUUUUUGACAGCUUCUUUUAAUGAAAAAUGGAAGGCUCGCAUCUUAAUCUGCUCCUCUGUGACAACAAGUGGCUUCAUACUCAAACAGACAACGAUGAACUUGUUAAGGUGUUUGUGGGACUCUUCACCUGAUAAACUAUGAAAAUUAGGUAAGAUGUAAAUUAAUCUUGAUUUUGAUUCAUAUGUUACAUUUUUAACAAAAUCAGAAAAAGUAAUGACGUUACUGAUUUAAAUCAGGAGCAGCCAACUCCGUUAAGGCCCGGUUAUUGUUUGUCAUCGUAACUUCUUCCUGCUCAGAAUCAUAGGAAGAAUCCAAUAAAUUCACAACCAAAUUAAACCCCAGAGAUGCAGCAAAUGAUUGUUCUCCCUUUCAUAUUCUAGUUUCUUUUCACAACCUACGUGCAGUCUUCUUAACCUCGGGAUUGAAGAUUAAAUCACUUGUACGAGAAAAAUAAGGUAUAAACUAGCAAAAAUAUCAAAAACUAAAAUAAAAUAAAUACAAAAAAAUUAAUCAACGCCAAUCCCCGACAACGACGCUAAAAAUUGACAGGUGUCGAUCUUAUGCAAUAAUAUAUUCCUGCUCACGAAAAUAUAUAAACGAAUAUAAUAUUAAAUAGAGCCAUUUUCACAAGGAUUAGGGAAAGAAUUUAUCUCGGUUCAAGUAAAAAACUAAUUGGGAAUUUUGAGAAAUUAAAAUUAAAAUAAAUGAGCAAUGUAAAUAAAAAUAAUUGAACUAAGAUAAAUUAAAUUCAAAUCAAGAAUAAACAAACUCUAGAUAAGGAAAUAAUUUCGGAAGUGGUUCAUACAACAGCUCAUCGAUAGAAUGAUUAUUUCAAUUACUCGUUAAUAAACAGGUUAUAGUUGCCAAAUACGCGAUGACAAUCAAUUUUUUCUUACCAUCUCGAUAGUUAAACUAUACCAGUUAACUAUUUUUCUAACCAAGAAACAAUCCUAAGCAUAUCCAUAGAAUUUAAUUUCUUGAUAGUCUUAAAAAUUAAAAAAGUCCUAUUCUAAUCGAUAAAAUCACUACUUGAAUUUAUUUAAAUUAGAUCAUAUAUUUUCUUAACAUGAAACGAAUCACGUUAGGCACCACUAAUUGAAAAUAAUUAAACAAUUACAGAUUUAACUUAACUGGCGUUAGUUUGCUAAGUUGAAUUAAAUAUCGAGUGCCCUUAAUAUUCAAUCAACAAAACAACCAUGAGAAAUUAAAUCAGAAAACGUACGAAUUUUUUUUUAUCGAAACGUUAGGAUCAUUUUCAUUCCAAAGUGUAAACCACACAGUACGAGCAAAUGCUCGAAAUAUCUGUACAAACCAGAGCUCAAAAGCACUGAGGAACAAUCCAUUCCUCAUCCACUAUUAUGCCAAAGGCAUGAUGACUUAAACAUUUACUUCUUUCUAUUCUUUCAUCCCUAACAGACCUAAACAAGCACAUGCGAAACAAUCUCUGCAUGUUAAGAAUGUCCUCUAUCAAAGUAGCUAAACUGCUGUUGGAGGGGCACCUAUUCUUCAUCUGUCUCAUCAGAUCUUGGUUAUGGAAAUGGAUCGCAAUUCUGCUCCAUCCCUGCUCUAGAGCUUUACACAGAAUCAGUUUUAUGGCCACUGCAUCAUUAAUGGUUCUGUUACCCAAACUUCUCUCUCUAAGUGCCCAUUCUGCCAGUAAAGUGUUUGGAUGCCUCCGCACUCUGACCCCAAUCCCCAAAGGGACUUUCCCUACCUGACUCUCUGUUGCCACCUCCAUAACAAUUGUGUCUGCUUCUUCUAGCUCUUGAAAAGGUUCUUCAGUGAUGGGAGUUGUUUUUCCUGUGCUUAGCCUAGUUAUCCUACUUAAGCUUCCCUCCUGUUCCAACCACUCCUUAUGGGCUUUACUUAUAGUCCUAGCUGGUAAACAACUGCCUUUGUUUUCAAACUCUUUUUUGUUCCUUUCUUUCCACACCUGCCAUAAAAUGUUCGCUGUCAGACCAAUAUGCUCCAUCCCUCUUGGCCUUCUCCUAGCUUCUGAUACUGUGAUCCGCCAUCGUUUAAAACUCCCUUGCUGGUCCACCACACCAUCCCACUUUAUUGGAGCAACCUUCCAGACCUCCUGUGUGUGCGGGCAGCUGAAGAAUAAGUGUUCCACUGAUUCUUGUUCUUCCCCACACAUUCGACACACUGGAUCUCCCAACCUUGUCUUCCUAUAGAUUUCAGCUCGCACUGGUAGUGCACCUGUUAUGCAUUUCCAAAUGAAAAUUUUGAUCUUAUGUUUAAUGUUGAGCUUCCAUAAUGUUUUCCACAUUUGUCUGGCUGACUGACUUCCUUCUCUGAUGCUUGAACCAGCGGCCUCUACUUGUUCCUUUUCAGCUUCACUUCUCUCCUUCAUAAGGAAUUGAUAGCCUGAGCUGACCGUAUACUGCCCCCCUGCAUUAUGCUGCCAAUAAUAACAGUCCUCUCUCCCAGUCAGACUUAAGGGGAUGUUUAAGAUCUUCUCAGCAUCCUUAUGAUUGAAAUACUUAAAGAUGGUGUUCCUAUUCCACCUCUGUUGGUUAAUUAACUCAUGCACCAUCUUACAUUCAGAAUUUAGAGGUCUUGGAGUAGUUGGCUUCCCAGAACUGGAUCCAGGAAUCCAUCGAUGACCCCAAAUACUUGUACUCCUCCCAUUGCCAAUCCUUCUAAUCAUUCCUUGAUCAAUUAAGCAUCUGGCUCCUAGUAAUCCUUGCCAGAACCAAGACGCAUUCCUAUAUGUUUUGCAUGAUAAGAUGGAGUCUUUGGGGAAGUACCUAGCUUUCAGCACUUUACUAACCAGAAGGUUCGGUUUAGUGAUUAUCCUCCAAAUCUGCUUCCCAAGCAAGGCUUUAUUAUAAGCUUCAAUGUCCUUGAAUCCCAGGCCUCCUUCAUUCCUCUUCAUUGACAUUUUCCUCCAGGAAACGCAAUGCAUUUUAUUCUUGCCAUUUGUUUCUCCCCACCAGUAGUUGGCCAUCAGAGAGCUGAUGUCUUUACACAUCUUCCUAGAUAGUUUGAAAACAGACAUGGCAUAAGUAGGCAUUGCCAUUGACACUGCCUUGAGGAGUACUUCCUUACCUGCAUUACUCAGAAACUUAUUCCUCCAGUCCUGCAUCUUACUUCUUAUAUUUUCCUUGAUGAACCCAAAGAUCUGGUCAUUAGUCCUGGCAAUCACCAUUGACAGCCCCAAAUAUUUGCCUUGUUUUAUCUCUGCCAUUCCUCCUAUGGAACUGCACACUUCACUUCUAAGCUCCCUCGAUACAUUCUUGCUGAAGAAGAUAGCUGAUUUAUCCAAGUUGACCAACUGUCCUGAAGCCUUUUCGUAUGUUCUGAGAAUUUUCAUGAUUUCAGUAGCUUGCCUGGUGUUGGCUUUACAAAAAAUGAGUGAGUCGUCAGCAAAGAAAAGGUGAGUGAUGAGAGGACCUUGCCUGCUGAUCCUCAGACCAUUUAAGUCCUUCCUCUCCUCUGCUUUCUUCAAUGGGUUGGAGAAUCCUUCUGAGCAUAUCAGAAAUAAGUAUGGAGACAGAGGGUCUCCCUGCCUUAUUCCCCUUUCUGGAGUAACAAAACCUUUCGAUUCCCCAUUGCAGUUGAAGGAAUAAGUUACUGAACUCAAGCAGCUAGUAAUCCAGUUGAUCCAUCUUGCACAAAAGCCCAUCUUCUGCAUCAUAACUUGCAAAAAAUGCCACUCCACUCUAUCGUAUGCUUUGGCCAUGUCAAGCUUAAUUGCCAUGAAACUUUCUUUCCCUUGUCUUUUAUUUUUGAGGUAAUGCAUGUACUCAUGACCUAGGAUUACAUUAUCUAAAAUCUGCCUAUCUGGGAUAAAAGCUGAUUGGGUGUUGCUAAUGCAUUUUCCUAGAACCUGUUUCAUUCUAUUGGCCAAAAUUUUGGAGAUGGCUUUGUAUAUAACACUACACAAGCUGAUGGGUCUGAAGUUCUUCAAGCAAGAAGGGUGCAAAGUUUUGGGGAUGAGGGAAAUAACCGUGUGAUUUAUAGAUUUUAGCAUGUGGCCUGAGCUGAAAAAGGCUUGAAUGGCUGGAGUUAGAUCCCCUUUGAUAAUGCUCCAAAACCUUUGAAAGAACAAGGGGGACAUGCCAUCCUGACCUGGGGCUUUAUCAGACUGCAUGGAAAAAAUAGCUGACUGAAUUUCUUCUUCCUCUACUGGUUUAGUCAAAUUUGUAUUCAUAUCCUGAGUAAUAGAGUGGGGAAUACCCUCAAGGAUCUCUGCCAUCUCAUUCCUUCAUCCACUUGUAAACAAUUCUCGAAAGAACCCAGAAAUUUCUGAUACUAUUUUUUCUUCACUUUCAGCCCAAGAGCCAUUCUCCCUCUGCAGUUUUCUGAUUCUAUUCUUAAUCCUUCUCCCCUUCACCAAGGCAUGGAAGUACUUGGUGUUUUUAUCUCCUUCCCUGAGCCAGUCAAGUCUAGCCUUUUGGCUCCAGAAUUUCUCCUCCUCCUGAUAUGCUUCCUUAAGCUGGUGUUUAAGCUCAGUCCUCUUCUCCUUCUUACUGGGAGCCUCAGAGCUACUUAAGGCCUCCAGUCUUUCCUUUACCUCUGCAAUUUUCCUUUUAGAGUUUGCAGCAAACGUGUUCCUCCAUUUUAGUAACUCAAUUCUACAGUUCCUGAUUUUCCUUGUUAUCUUAAACAUUCUUGAACCAGGUUCAUCCCUUUGCCAAGCUUGCUCGACUACCUGUUGCACCCCUUCCUUAUGCAACCAUCUUUUAUCAAAAAAGAACCUUUGUUUCCUUUUCCCCUUUUCUGGAUCAGUGUCUAAGCACAAAAUGCUGUGGUCAGAAGCAUAAGUGUCCAUAUGCUGGCAUUUAGCUUUAUCAAAAGUUUGCACCCAUUCAUAACUGGCCAAGCAUCUGUCUAAUCUUUGCCUAAUUUCUCCUUCAUUCUCCCAAUGAUUACUCCAAGUCCAUGGGUGUCCCUCAAAGCCUAUAUCUAUUAAGUUACUCUGCUCUAUAAAGGUCUUAAAAUCCCUGAAGCUGCUCUCCUCUCUGAAAACACUCCCCCAUUUUUCUCCAUUUGACACUAUAUCAUUAAAAUCACCUGCUAUCAUGUAUCUAUCUCCCCACAACCUGCUCCUAUCUCUCAAAACUCUCCAUUGUUCCUUACUUAUCUGUCCAUCACAACUCGCAUAAACUCCUAUAAACCACCAGUCACAAUGCUUAUCAUCAUCCUCUAACCUGACUUCAAUAGUGAAGGCUGUUAGAUUAACUUCCAGAACUUGUGUACCCUCUUUCCAAAAAACUGCCAUUCCUCCUGCCUUGUGCAUGGCUUCUACCACUGCACUGUUGUCAAAACGUAAGCUUCUAGCAAUCCUAUCCAAAAUCUGUUUUCUAUUUUUUGUCUCACUUAGGAAAAUAAAGCUUGGAGAGAGGAGGUUAUUAACCUCCCUCAGGUGGGGAACUGUCAAGGGGCUCCCCACUCCUUGACAAUUCCACACCAAAGCCCUCAUUUCCCUUGGGGGGCCCUAUAAGGGAGAGACCCCACCUCCACCUCAGACAAACCUGUGUAUCCAGACAGCUCAAGAGCCUUAGCUUUUUUGCCUACUGGCUCUUUCGAAUACACAUCCUCCAUUUCCUCAUCAAAGACCAGCAUCUUUCUCUUACCACUACCCCCAACGAAAGCUUCCUGUCCAUUUCUCUCUCUCAAAGGCCUUCUUGUCUUAACAGGAGAUUUCAGCUUUUUAUAAGACCUUUUAACUUGCUUUGUCAUAGCUCCUUGCCUCUUUACCUCACAAAGGCUUUUCUCCUGCAUAGCUGCCUCAAAGACUGGUAUCUCUUGUAGGCUGUUCUCCUGCUCCAGCCAUUUUGCACUCUCAUCUCUAACCUCAACCAUUUCCUCCUCUACUACUAAAGUCACUCUUUUCUCAGUUCUGACCUGCGAUAUCAGCAAGAGGUCCUGAUUUUCCUUAGUCAAGGCCUGAGAGCCAUCACUGAGGUCCCUAUCCUUUCCACUACUGUCCCCUUUAUAUGGGGGGCUACUUCGAAGAUUUUCCACCCUUUCCUUCUCCUGCUCUUUAACAACCUCUGGAGAACUCUUCGUUCCUAGCCCUGAAGACCUCAACGUCUCCAGGAUUUUCUCUCCAGCCUGCAUCCUGGUCCUUUCCCUCUCAACCAUUUCUCCAUUCUGAAACUUCCAAUACCUUUUAUCCUUCACCAGGUCCUCUCUCACUGUCCUAUCCUUUGUUGGACUUCUAUUACUUCCUGCUCUCAGCCACGGCCCAUAUUGAUUCUCCAAGAGGGUCCCUGAUGAAUUCCUUUGUUCUUGACACGUACGUUCCCCGUGCCCAACUAUACCACAGCUGUAACAGAAAUCCGGGCAUCUUUCAUAUUUAAAGGCAACCCAUUUGAGUGACUCUGCUACAUUAACCAACGUUCCUCUGAGGAGGGGUUUAGACAAAUCUACCAGGGCAAGAACUUUAAGAUGUCUUCCCUCUUUUCCUCCUGCCUGAGGUAUAAUCACUUCUUUUGCUUCUCUAAAAACUGCGCCAAUCUUUCUCCCUACCUCCUUGGACAGCCAGUGCACUGGCAGAUUCCACAUUUGUACCCACAAAAGUGCAGUUGUAAAAGCUCCAUAGUUAUCUUCUACUCCCUCAGACCAUCUGUUCAGCACUAGAACUUGGUUGUCCAUUAUCCAAGGACCUCCUGUCACUAUCCUUUCUUUCUCUUCUACAUUUGGGAUAUUAAACUGGAAUAGAUUCGGUCCUAACUCCAUAACAGUCAAGUUCCUGGGGUAGCUCCAUGCUGCUGUCACGAAGUUUUUCACUCCCGUAAAGUUGGCAAUUUUUUCCCCCAUAAUUCUCCCUAUCAAACUGUCUGCACAAUCUCUCCUCCCACUACUAAGGUCCUCAAGCUCCAACUUAGCUCCUGAUAUCUCGUUCCCUUCCAGAGAAAACUUUUGUAACAAUUCAGCCAGGUCUCCCUCCAUAGAUGAGCUAGAGAUGCUAGCGGGUAUUCCUUCUACGUACUUAGGAAGAAAGAACUCUUCGACUUCCAGACAGGAAAAAACAAAAACACGAACCCAAGAGAAGAAAAACAGACAACGUAAGAAAAGGCUCACAGAAGGCCUACCUUACAGAGAGAAUACUUUAGAAAAAGACAUAACAAGGUUGACCACACAACAAGACGACAGACAAGGGUCUCAGACAACUCCAAAACACUACCAGACAUGUACUACCUCAGAAAUAGGAACAAGUAAAAGUAAAGGGCAAACAAGAUUCACCUGGCUUUCAGCUACCAUAAAGUGGAGACUUUAAGAUGUCCGUUGUUCCCUCAGGAGAGACCUCCUAGAAGCUCUCUGAGUGCGAUAGUUGAGCUGCAUUAAACAAGCAUUUGAUGCAGACCAGAUCGGUAGUGGUGAUGUUCAUCGAAGUUAGAUUGGAAGGUGUUGAUUAGCCAUAAAUUUUGAAAAAGUUUGAAUUUUGAAGAACUCCCACCAAAAGGGAGGUAAGCUCUUAUCCCAAGAGAGAGCGUCAUCUACGCAAAGAGAGGAGUCACUUUACGUCAGAAAACGUACGAAUACUAACAAAGAUUGUGUAUUGGAAGAAAACGUGGACGUAUAUAAGACAAACACAAAUCUGAAAAUGUUGAUGCUUCACUUUCAUUUAACUAGACUCGUCAAAGUUUCGGUCCUGCAAUUCAAGCUCUAAAAUUUGGGGAGGUCCAUUUCUUAAAUUCAAACCUGUCCCUUAACUAAUAGUACAUUGCUUUAAGCGGUCUUAGAAAUGUUAAAAACAGAAUAGACACUAGAAGAUGCUGCUGGUGUUUUUCUAAAAUUGCCUUCUUAUUCUUAGUCAAAAUUUGCAUGGAAAUGAAACAGGAAAAGGUGGCUUGUGAAGAAAAGUUGUAGCCGAUCAAUGUCGUGUGACUUUUUAAUUUUUUUUUUCAACAUCGGAGUAUCCCAACUUUGUCAGAUUAAUGUCGUGUGAUUAGUAACAGCAAAAUUGAGGUGGUGUUUUGAGAUUUUUUGUGAGGACAAUAAUGGAACCUAAAAUAUUGCGACCAUAUUUUGUUUCAGCGACUCCUAUUAAGUUUCCAAAUGAGUCUGCUUUAGCCCGAAGACCAUUCUCAGAUUACGCGUCUCUAAGCACGAAAGUACAGGCAAAAUAUUUGCUGAUCCGGGGGUUAAUCUCUAAACAAGACAGAUCAUCAUUCAAUUAAAAAAAGUUUUAAAUUCCUUUACGGCUUUGUUUUGUGUAUGUGGGUGGCGUUUAAUCAGCUGUUAACUUGUUUACUUAGCAUUGAGCAUUGACAUAGAAAGAUAAAAGAAUUUUAGAUUAAAUAUUGAUUCACAGUAGAUAGAAAUAAUAAAAGCAAGGUCUUCUGUCAGAAUGAUAAUUGAGAUCGGGAAAAACAAAGCUUUUAUGCAAAAUUGCUGACUACUAUUCAUUAUUACUUUAAACUAAGCUUGAUUGUUUACAAAUAAAUGAAUAACAUAUAUCACACACUCUCUCUCUAUAUAUCUAUAUAUCCACCGAGUGGAGUGGAGUGGAGUGGAGUGGAUAAUGCUUCAAAAUGCCCAGCCCUUUUUACAUUGAGGAUUGAGCAUUCAAGCAAAUCUAUACACAAACAUUUUUUAUGCUUCCAAGUGCCUUGCUCAGGAGAUGAAUGAUGAUAAACGCAGCUUCGCUUCCGCAAUGUUGUUAUGACUGCGUCUUUUAUCUCCUCUGGAAGUUGAAAGUUUUAAUGGCGUAGGCAAAUAUGAAGGCAAAAAUUACCGGCAAUCCGACAACUACACCAGCAACAACUGGAAGAAAGUCAUGUUUGAAUCCAAAGUAAUGUCUCAGGUAAUCUUUAAUUAAUUCGCCGUUGUCUUCAAGACGAUCAGACAGAUCUCCCCAUUGGGAUACAAACAGGCCAUACAAGGUCCAAGCCACGGGACAUCCCCAGUAAUACCAUCUCCACCAAAUAGGAAUCCUCUGUUGUUUGACAAGAAAUUCAGAAUUAUUAAAAAGAAAGAAAGAAAAAAAAAAGAGAGAGAGUAAGAUUUCUUGCUUUGCUUUGCAUGCGUGACUAUUAUGGAAAGAAAUGAUGAUGAUAUUUGCACAACUUACCGGUCGGGGGAUGAGGAAUCCAGAAAAGAGAUUCCAUCCAGCAUAAAAGGCAGAUGCGACGACGGCAGAAAUGUUGUGAUUGGGAGUGACAGACACAACCAUCAUGCCAUAGAAGGUGAAGUACAGUAAUGUGAAGUACAUGAGGAACAAGUACCAAAGGAAUUUCGAGGCGGUCCAUUCAAAUCCAAUCAUAGCGUAGGUAAUGACAGAAUAGAAUACAGCUUGUUUAAGGAUGUAUAAAAUCUCAAUUCCAACCUGGAGACAGCAAAACAAUUUAUCAGAAAAAAAAAGACUACACUCGUGAAGUGCCAUGCAACGUCUGAUAUUCAGGAAAUCGGCUCACCUGUGCAAAAGCAUAUGGCAAGGCAGAAUACAUUCCGGCUGCUCUCUCUCUGUAGAAUACCGUCCGUUCUAUAGCCACCACAGGUUGCACUGCUGAGGAGUUUUGCACCCCCAGGAAGAGAACAGCAGCAUACAUUGAACCCAUGGCAUUGAAAAGAUCUUGUGUAGUGUCCCUGCGUUACAACAAGCCAAUACGUUUAGUCAAUGGAACUUGUGCCGAAAUCAUGCUUCACAGGUUGAUUUUCAGUGAUGCGCUUGUUAACUUACUUUCUUUUACCCAGCUUCCAGAAGAUUGUCCCAAAUGACAGAGCAAUGAAGGAGGUGAAUAAAAAUCUCACGGCUGUAUAAGGUGGAUUGCGCCAGUAUGAUAUGCGUUGUUUCCAGAAGCAAGCCAUGCAUUGCACAGGGAACGCCUGAGAGUACUUGGUAGGGAAGUAGAGGUCUUUUGUACCAGGGCGCGGGCUAUCUAAUUCAUGAAUGAGUGCUUUGUUCCUCCUGGAAUUUGUAACAUAUACAAGUAAAGAAGUGCAUACUAGAUUGAUGGUGUAUUCUGUCAUUGAAUAUUGGCGGCCCAAAGUAGCAUCAUCUGAUUUAGAGGCAGAAAUUGACUGUUAAAUAACUAAACUGACCUGUAUAAAUCAGAGUUUUUAUAGAUCUCAGCAAAAUCGACUCCCAACAUAAGUUCUUGUGCUGAAGCAGUAACUUCCAACAUCCAGGUUGCUGGGUUGCAACCAUCUUUGAUUUUGCUGACUCCAUGAAUUGCCUGAAUUUGAAAGAAAAAUGAAUACAUAGGGUUCUAAUUUGGAAAAGAAGCUUUUCAGGCAUUACAUGUUAAUCAGAAACUUACCUCAAAGUACUUAAUUAAUUCGAUGGAAUUGUGGCCAAGCGGCCCGACAUAUAUUUCUUGGCCCCCUCGCUUCAGAAGGAAUAACUACAGAACCAUGUCCAGUGUUAGUAGUUCUUAUUAAUUCGAAAACCAAAAAGUACUCAAAGUUCUGAACAGAUCAUUACCUCAUCAAAAGCUUCAAAUAUGUCAAUGCUUGGCUGAUGAAUGGUGCAUACUACAGUUCUUCCAGUGUCUACAGUAUUUCUCACAGUUCUCAUCACAAUUGCAGCAGCUCUUGCGUCAAGACCUGAAGUUGGCUCGUCCAUGAAUAUGAUUGAGGGGUUAGCCACAAGUUCAACGGCAAUGGUAAGCCUCUUGCGCUGCUCAGUUGAAAGACCGUUAACCCCUGGCAGCCCCACAAGUCCAUCUCUCAAUGAAGUAAGUUCCACAAGUUCCAUAACUUCAUCAACGAACAUCUGCAGAUAUUAGUAACAUGAAUAUGCACAUAAGAUACUUGAUAAAGGAGACGCACAUUAGCAAGGCUUCAUAAAUUUGUCAACAUUUUGAUUGUUAAACACAAUCAGAUUGAGGGAUACAAACCAUUCUGGUUUUUGCAUCAACUUCUGCGGGCAGACGCAGCCAAGCUGAGUAAACUAGAGACUCAUAAACAGUAACGUGAGGAGAGUGGAUGUCAUUCUGCUCGCAGUAUCCAGAUAUCCGAGCAAAGGUCUCCUGAUUCUUUGGAUACCCAGAGAUUGUAACGUUUCCUUCAAUAUAUCCGCCAGUUUUUCUACCAGCCAGCACAUCCAUCAAAGUUGUUUUACCGGCUCCACUAACACCCAUUAAAGCAGUUAGAACACCAGGCCUAAACGCUCCACUAAUCCCCUUGAGAAGCAUGAGUUUAUCUUCAACAGUACCCUGAUCUUUCAUUGCCUGCAGGUCAUUGAAAGAAUUAAGCAGGUAUUUCAGAGAUGGGUACUUCAAUGACUAAUUAUUAGCAGUAGCAGUAGCUGCUUAUAAAUCAUCAACACAGGAUUCCUCUCGGAAAGUUUGAACUUGUAACUUGUCCAAGUACCUGUGGCAUGUCAACUGAGUAUCUUAUGUCAUCAAAGGUAAUUGAAUGCGGUUCAAAUGGAAGAAUCAUUCCUCUUCUCUGAUUCUCAUUGGACUCAGUGAUGGCAUCUGCCCACGUAAAAGUAAACCUUUAGAAACCACACAAGGUAGAGGCAUCAUUGCAUCCAUAGGCAUCAUUACAUCCCUAUGCAACUUACCUACGGAGCCAUCUCUUUGGCCAGAAUUUUCAGUGUUUUCACUUUCUUCUGGUAGAACAGCUUGAGGCUUCCCGAUUGCUGCAAAAGUUUUGUCUAAUUAUUAGUACCUGACCUUCAAAUGAUUUCAACUUACUAAACAAAAACGAUACUCACGCUGAAGAUAAGUGAGAGCGAGGGUAUAGAAGAAAUUUAACAGGAGAAUGAAUCCACCACACGCUCCAAGUCCGAUCCAGUACCAGUAUGAUUGAGGGAAGAAUCCUUUCGAUUUCAAGACUUGAGUUCCCAAUGUUUCAGUUGUAUUUGGCACAAUCUAUGCGAGUACAGAAUAUAAUAAGAAGUUAGUCCAAAUCCCAGAUUCAGAAAUUCAGGAACCAUGCAAUUGCUGAGCAUAGUAAUUUACUUGUCUCCAGUGCUUUCCCGUAAAUUCGUUAACAAGAAUUGCAUUCUGUGCAUACAUCAAUGGUGAGGACCAGUAACCCCACAACCACCAUUUCUUCACUUGGUCUGCAUCAUUCCAUAAAAUAAGAAAAACAAAAGCAAAUAUCAGUCACUUUUACUGAUUAUGAGGAGAACAGAGAUUUGACUUUUGAAUUCGGAGUAUUACCUCUUGAUAAGACAAAUCCACCCAAUGCAAAAAGCAGCAUCAAUGCGAAUGUCCCAAAUGUGUUAGCCACAAUCAUGUUCCUGGAAGCUGCCCCAAUGAAUCUAAACAAUGCUGAUGCUACCUGAUUUAUAGCGACUAGUAUGAGGUAGUGUUUGAAAAACCUGCAGCAAACGUACCAGAUAUGAAAAAUGUGGACCUUUAUUUACUAUAAAAGUUACUGAGCUAAGUUAGUUUGACAGUUUACUAUAAAAGUUACUGAGCAAAGUUACUUAGGUAGUUUACCUUGCAGGGCUUGGAUCAAAUCCAAUGACAUAGUAGGUCAUAACUACCCAAACGGCAACUUCAAGAAAAGUGAUUGGUAUCUUGAGAAUCCAUGUGGGCAGAGCAUAUGACCAUGCAGGGAAAAACCGGAAGUCCCUUUGCUUGAAGAAGACCGGAAGCUUGAGAAUUGUCAUCGCCAGUUCGGACAUUCCAUUAAACAUGACCUGAACAACCGCGAAAAAUAGAGCACCAAGAUAUAUUCCUCCAUCAACAACAUCUCUUCUUGGCAUUUUAGUCCUAAAGAACACUGUCAUUCCGAUUAGGGCCAUCAUGAUUAGCUGAGACAUUUUGAAAAUGUAGAUAAAGGAGUUUCUCUUUAUAAGCAAGAGUUCUCUAGCGGAGUUGGCUUUAAAAAUCUCUUUAUUGUUAACACCAUAGGUUUGGGUAGUCAAAGCGGCUGGAUGACUUUUGCUCUUAUCAAACGGUGUUGCAAGUUCAUUUGCUAGUGUCCUUCCAACAUGGAAUGAUUGGAAUGACUCGGCAAAUUCAGUUGCGGCUAUAUAUCUGUAGGGUUCGUCUCUACGUGCCCAGUACUGCUGCUGAUCUUUCUUUGAUGUAACCUGCACAAAUAUGUAAUUUUUUGUUAUGACUGGAUAAGGGACUCAAAAAUCGAUAUUAUUAUAAAUGUUUAUUUUACAAUAAAAACAUACUUCUUGCAAGAAGUCAGCAACUCCUUUUCUGUCCGGGCAUCGGAAACCCAUAGAUUGAAAAAAUUCAAGAACAUUUUCUCGGGGGCCCUGGUAAACAAUCAGGCCAUCGGAUAAGAGGACAAUAUCAUCGAAGAGGUCAUAUGUCUCAGGAGCCGGCUGCAGGAGUGAAAUGAAUGCAGUUCCCUUCAUAAUAUGCACAUAUUGUCUGAGGGAAUUCACAAUCUGGAAAGUAGUGGAACUAUCUAAUCCAGUUGAUAUCUCAUCCAUGAAUAGCGCAUUUGUCGGUCCAACAAGCAUUUCACCUGAAAUUUUAAGUAAACCAUCAGCUAAGUCUAGGGCUGUAAAGUCUAAACAGGGCUUGCUCGAAGUAUGGUUCAGUUUUUACCUGUUGUCACGCGCUUCUUUUGUCCUCCAGAGAUUCCUCUUAGCAUUUCAUCUCCUACCAGAGUGUCUGCGCAAAUUUCCAGUCCCAAAAUCUGCACACCAAUGAAAAUAUGAAUACGUAUUUUGCAGUUUCAUGCUGUUGUAAGACUAAGCGGAAUCUAACGAGAUAUGGUACCCGAAGAACAUAAUCUGUGACAACAGUUGCUUCUUGGCCUUCAGUAGCCGCAGACUGGAAUAACCAAAUAGAACAUGUGAAUCACAAAAUGGACAAACUAAAAUUGCUUUGCUGAUUAGUUUAACUAGAUUAGCAUUGUAAAGAGACUGAGAAUCAACAAUCAACUAUGACUAGUGUUAUUUCUUUCUGACCUUCAUGUAUAUAUCAAUAUCGGGAUCAGGCUUAAUGUUUGCUGCUUUUUCUCUUCUUGACAACUCCGCCAACAUCUCUGCAAUUUUUUUUAAGAACAAUGAAUAUAUUUAAUCACCAAGUAAACAUAAAAGGACAUAAAAGAGCAAGAAGUAGGAGUAAUCUCCUGACUAACCAUAACGAGAUCCAACUCCUUGGCAUCUGGCAGAAAAUGCUAGAGUUUCUCUCACAGUCAUUUCUCCAAUAUGGAGAUCAUGUUGACUAACAUAUGCUGCAGUUCUUUGGGGUACAAAUUCAUUCAUGCCAUGCCCAUUGUAAGUAAUCCUUCCAGAAAACUAGUGUGAAAAAAGAAAAGACCUUAGUUUAUUCAAUUAAGAAACGCGAUUCCUAGCUUCAUAUCGGACGUUAAUUCCAGCAGUGUAGUUGCUGUAGAUUUACCUUCAAAUCGGGGUCAAGCUUUCCAGCCAAAGCCAUCAAAAGUGUUGUCUUUCCAGACCCUGGAGGACCUAAUAGUAAUGUCAUUCUGCAAAAACAAGAUUAAAGAGUUGAAACAAGAGACAACUAUCUUCAAAUAUUGAAGUCACAUACAGAUAUAAAACCCCUGAAUUAGGCCAUGUUUGAUUUCAUUAGUAAUCUGCUGUCUUACCUUGAAGGCUUGAUAAUUCCACUGACAUCGCGAAGUAUUUUAAUAUUCUUCUUUCUGCUUGGAAGUAUGUGAAGAUUGUUCAAGAGCCCCUUUUGAAAAGGUAAAGGAAAAAAAGGAAGAGCGGGGAAACAGACAAGUUAGAUCAAAGCAUCCGUUGCAUGCUUGAAGGUACAAAUAAUCUAAAACAAAUAUGUUUCAUAUAACCGAAAAGCAGGCGAUGAAUAACAAGAUUUACCUCUAUCAUAUUGGUAGCGAAGUUAAGGAAGGUAGGCAGAGCACUACUUCCAACAUAAGCUUCUGCGUCAACUUUUAGAUGCUCAAAUCUUACUUCAAUUGUAGGCAAAUCGAUUCCAACUCUAAAGUUAUACCACAGCGAAAACCAAAAAAAUCCAUCAUUUAAAAGAUCAAAUUUUUGGUUGAUUUAUUUGUUGAAAGAUACAAAGUGAAGAGAUCAAUCAGCAGAAGUGGUAGUACCUAUCAAUUCUGUUCCUCAGUUUCAGCAAGAAUUUCUCAUUAUCCUCUUCGGCAACCUUGAUGAGCCUCUCAAUGAGAGUUUUUCUAUCUUGAAAUCCAAAGUUCUCUACAUCCACUUCAUUGACUUCACCUCGCGACCCAAAGAGCAGCCCUUUUCUCAGUCUAUCAAAGGUUGGUAGCUUUUCAAGGGAAGCCCAUUUCAGAGCUUCUUCAUCAUCUUCGUCUCGCGAUGAACGUGAAAACACUUCCAGGCCUGUAUUCCUCCACA